AUCAGAAGCAGCUGGUCCAGAUAAAGACCACUGGGGUUCUGAUAUUUAGGAAUCACGUCCACGGAGGAGCUGGAAUUGAGACUUGAUUGCUACACCGACACCAGAAACUGAUCUAGAAGUGCUGCAAUCUCAUCAGAAAAAUGCUGUUUCCGGUAGUAUUUCUAACCAGGAAGAGAAGGAGAAGUAUCUGGAAUCACCUAAGAAAGCCCCAGCUCUCCUGAGAGCCGGUCUUGAAUUUUGCUGGCACAGAGCAUUGGAUCAGUAAUCAGAAAAUCACGAUUUUAAAACAGAACUGCUUCCAAUGCAUCUAAGGUCACACAGCCUGAGCCCUACACAACAGCUCUUGCUUCUGGGGUUGAGCGAACUGGAACAAAGACACCCACCGAGCCACCUUGGAAAGCAAUUUGGAGCAGUCCCAGCAAAGAGCGUUAAGGGGAAAAACAGCAAAUACCUUCUAAUAUAUAACAUCGAAAUGCUAGAGGGACAGAAACUAGCUUUUAUCUUGAAGGUUCUUGGGAGUUUGAUUUCUCUAGAAAGACAGGGACCCCCCCAUCCACAUUUCUGUUGUAUUGUGGGUCAGUAUGUGAUCAUUACUUUAAGAUGUUUUGUUAUUUUAGCUUUUUAAGCAGCAAAAACAAAAGAGCCAAAAUUUCUCAAUUUCUUUGCUCAUCCCAAGCUCAUGAUUUCACCACAGAUAACUAAUAACUACUUUUGAAAGUAUGACACAUAAUUUCCAGACAUUUCCAUAAAAAAUAAAAGUAUGUCUAUAUACAUACCCACAAAAACUGUUUUAAAUAUACAUCUGAAAUAUUUAUAGAAACUAUCAUCCAUUAAA